rnacentral:rRNA from 1 species
CAUGCAAGUCGAACGGCAGCACAGGGGAGCUUGCUCCCUGGGUGGCGAGUGGCGGACGGGUGAGGAAUACAUCGGAAUCUACCUUGUCGUGGGGGAUAACGUAGGGAAACUUACGCUAAUACCGCAUACGACCUACGGGUGAAAGCGGAGGACCGCAAGGCUUCGCGCGAUUGGAUGAGCCGAUGUCGGAUUAGCUAGUUGGCGGGGUAAAGGCCCACCAAGGCGACGAUCCGUAGCUGGUCUGAGAGGAUGAUCAGCCACACUGGAACUGAGACACGGUCCAGACUCCUACGGGAGGCAGCAGUGGGGAAUAUUGGACAAUGGGCGCAAGCCUGAUCCAGCCAUGCCGCGUGGGUGAAGAAGGCCUUCGGGUUGUAAAGCCCUUUUGUUGGGAAAGAAAAGCAGUCGGUUAAUACCCGAUUGUUCUGACGGUACCCAAAGAAUAAGCACCGGCUAACUUCGUGCCAGCAGCCGCGGUAAUACGAAGGGUGCAAGCGUUACUCGGAAUUACUGGGCGUAAAGCGUGCGUAGGUGGUUCGUUAAGUCUGAUGUGAAAGCCCUGGGCUCAACCUGGGAAUUGCAUUGGAUACUGGCGGGCUAGAGUGCGGUAGAGGAUGGCGGAAUUCCCGGUGUAGCAGUGAAAUGCGUAGAGAUCGGGAGGAACAUCUGUGGCGA